GCUGACGUUGUUUUCGUUGUUGAAGGAAAGAAAAUCCACACGCACAAAGCGAUUCUGCUAAUGCGAUGCCCCACCUUCAGGACUUUGUUUCAGGGUGGUUUGAAAGUGAGCAGGAAAAGCAGCGAAGGUGAGCACAUCAUCGAGCAUCACAGCUACGUCGCUUUUUACACCUUCUUGAAAUACUUCUACACAGACGAAAUCGACUUUCCGCCACACUCCGCAAUCGAGCUUCUUGGGUUGGCGCAUUUAUUCCACCUUCCCGCGCUGCAAGAGAUAUGCGGACAAUAUGUUAAAAAAGACGUGACGGUGGAAAACGCAGCCGUGAU